rnacentral:rRNA from 1 species
UACGAAUUGGGCUAGCGUUGCUCGGAAUCACUGGGCGUAAAGGGUGCGUAGGCGGGUCUUUAAGUCAGGGGUGAAAUCCUGGAGCUCAACUCCAGAACUGCCUUUGAUACUGAAGAUCUUGAGUUCGGGAGAGGUGAGUGGAACUGCGAGUGUAGAGGUGAAAUUCGUAGAUAUUCGCAAGAACGCCAGUGGCGAAGGCGGCUCACUGGCCCGAUACUGACGCUGAGGCACGAAAGCGUGGGGAGCAAGCAGG